rnacentral:rRNA from 1 species
GGGUUUCCGUAGGUGAACCUGCGGAAGGAUCAUUAU